rnacentral:rRNA from 1 species
AUUGAACGCUGGCGGCAGGCCUAACACAUGCAAGUCGAACGAGUGGCGGACGGGCGAGAAAUGUCUGGGAAACUGCCUGAUGGAGGGGGCUAACUACUGGAAACGGUAGCUAAUACCGCAUACCAUCGGUUGGGCCUAGAUGGGAUUAGCUAGUAGGUGGGGUAACGGCUCACCUAGGCGAAGAUCCCUAGCUGGGCUGAGAGGAUGAACGGCCACACUGGAACUGAGACACGGUCCAGACUCCUACGGGAGGCAGCAGUGGGGAAUAUUGCACAAUGGGCGCAAGCCUGAUGCAGCCAUGCCGCGUGUAUGAAGAAGGCCUUCGGGUUGUAAAGUACUUUCAGCGGGGAGGCGUUACCCACAGAGAAAGCACCGGCUAACUCCGUGCCAGCCGCCGCGGUAAUAC